CGGGCAUGCGCGGGGGCUGUGGAGCGCCGCUCGGCGAAGUCUCGCGAGAGUGAGCGCCGAGGCCGAGGUGCCGGCUUCCUCCGUGUCCCUGCGGGCCCGGCGCCUGCCUUCGGCUUUUGCGGUCCCUACGCGAGUUCCUCUCAGGCGCACGCCCGGGCUCCCGCAGGAUGGGGGACAAUACCAGCCCCAUCAGCGUGAUCCUGAUAAACCACGGAGCAGAUAUGCUGUCAACAACACUGGCGAACAUGCUGAUGACCAGGACGGUGACUCCAGGUUCUCGGAUGUUAUUCUGGCAACAAUUUUGGCAACCAAAUCUGAAAUGUGCGGCCAAAAAUUUGAACUGAAGAUUGAUAAUGUACGGUUUGUUGGGCACCCAACACUGCUGCAGCAUGCUCUGGGGCAGGUCUCCAAAACAGAUCCAUCUCCAAAGCGGGAAGCUCCGACCAUGAUUCUUUUUAACGUGGUAUUUGCACUGAGGGCCAAUGCUGAUCCAUCAGUGAUAAACUGUCUACACAACUUGUCCCGCCGAAUUGCUACUGUCCUGCAGCAUGAGGAGCGCCGCUGCCAGUACCUCACUCGAGAGGCCAAGCUGAUCCUAGCACUUCAGGAUGAGGUGUCUGCUAUGGCUGAUGCAAAUGAAGGUCCUCAGUCCCCAUUCCAGCACAUCCUACCCAAGUGCAAGCUGGCUCGGGACCUCAAAGAAGCUUAUGACAGCCUGUGCACAUCUGGUGUGGUACGGCUUCACAUUAACAGCUGGCUGGAAGUGAGUUUCUGUCUGCCCCACAAGAUCCACUAUGCAGCUUCAAGUCUGAUUCCUCCUGAGGCUAUUGAACGGAGCCUGAAAGCCAUCCGCCCGUACCAUGCCUUGCUACUUCUCAGUGACGAGAAGUCUCUGCUGAGUGAGCUUCCCAUUGACUGCUCCCCGGCUCUGGUGCGGGUGAUCAAGACCACGUCUGCUGUGAAGAACCUGCAGCAGCUAGCCCAGGAUGCCGAUCUGGCCUUGCUGCAGAUGCACCAGAAGAGGACAUUGGAUCCCUUUACAGAUGGUUUUGAGCUAUCAUGUGUUUGCUGGGAAUUGAACUCAGGACCUCUGGAAGAGCAGUCAGUGCUCUUAACCACUGAGCCAUCUCUCCAGCCCCCUUGUUUUCGUUUUUACUAAAAUACAUGUCUUUAAUGAUGAGACAUGCAGAGAUGCAGCCUUGUUUUGGAGGACAACUAAGUCCAAUCAGAUGUUCAGAGCAAACCUUCCCUGCAGGACUGCGGGUUUGCCUCUUUCCAUCUCUGAUGCCAUGGGGCUAGGAUCCAAGUGAGGUCUUCCAGUUGGCAGCUCACCUGGUAUACUGGGGCAAGGCUGUCAUCAUCUACCCACUGUGUGAGAACAACGUCUAUGUCAUGUCUCCCAAUGCCAGUGUGUGUCUGUACUCCCCGCUAGCUGAACAGUUCUCCCGGCAGUUCCCGUCCCAUGACCUGCCAUCUGUCCUGGCCAAGUUUUCCUUGCCUGUUUCUUUAUCGGAGUUCAGGAGCCCUCUGGCUCCCCCUGCACAGGAGACCCAGCUCAUCCAGAUGGUGGUGUGGAUGCUGCAGCGCCGGCUCCUCAUCCAGCUGCAUACCUAUGUUUGCCUAAUGGCCUCACCCAGCGAAGAGGAGCCCCGACUGCGAGAGGAUGAUGUCCCCUUCACAGCCAGAGUUGGUGGCCGCAGCCUCAGCACACCCAAUGCUCUAAGCUUUGGCUCCCCAACCAGCAGUGACGACAUGACCCUUACCAGCCCCAGUAUGGACAACUCAAGUGCUGAGCUGCUCCCCAGUGGGGACUCACCACUGAACAAGAGGAUGACAGAGAACCUGCUGGCUAGCCUCUCAGAGCAUGAGCGGGCUGCUAUCCUCAAUGUGCCUGCAGCCCAAAACCCUGAGGACCUCCGCAUGUUUGCCAGGCUCCUUCACUACUUCCGUGGCCGCCACCAUCUGGAGGAGAUCAUGUACAAUGAGAACACUCGGCGCUCCCAGCUACUCAUGCUCUUUGACAAAUUCCGCAGUGUGCUGGUGGUGACCACCCAUGAGGACCCUGUUAUUGCCGUCUUCCAGGCACUGCUCACAUGAGCCCGGGCAGCAUGCCUGUGUGUGGAUGGAAACAACCUCCCUUCUGCCGCAGAGUUCCUGACUGGCCUUAGGAAGAUAGGCAGCCCCAGCCCGGUCGGUCUGGUCAGAAGCAGCUAUGGGGCAGCCAUGGUUGGGCUUUGUGAUUCUCUUGAGACCUCACACUUGCCUUGUAGUUAAGGAUGACCUUGAACUCCUGAUCCUCCUGCCUCUGUCCUCCAAGUGCUAUGAUUACACACGCGUGCCAUCAAUGUCACUUGUAAAAAAUAUAUUUAUUUUUAUUUAUGGUUUUGUGUGUAUGUGUGCCCUCAGAGGUCAGAAGAAAGCAUGCCUUGGAGCUAGAGUUACAGAGGUUGUGAGCCAUUGGGUGUGGGGCUGGGAACAGCAGAAGAGCAGGAAGCACUGUUAACCAUUGCUCUCUCCUACCCACCAGCCUCCCUCUUCAAUCUGGUCCUUACGGCAGCUUAAUAUUGCUGAGCUGGAGAAGGUCUUCCAGGAUGUGACUUUUUUUUUUAAAGAUGUAUUUAUUUAACGUAUGUGAGUAUACUGUUGCUGUCUUCAGACACCAGAAGAGGGCAUUACAUGCCACCAUGUGGUUGGUGGGAAUUGAACUCAGGACCUCUGGUUAAGAGCAGGAAGUGCUCUUAACCACCUAGCCAUCUCUCCAGCCCCCAGGAUGUGUCUUCAGAGUCCAAGUCCUUUCUUUAUACACAUACAGGUUAUGUCCUUGUCAUCCCUUUCCGGCCGGUCCCUUGUGGAGCUGCCCUGGAAAGUGUCUAAACACACCUGUUCAGCUCAUUCUGUUCCUAGGUGUAUACACCUGCACGUUGAUGUUUUUCCUCUCUGUUGCCAUACAUACUGGGUAACCCAGUUUCCUGACCCGGAUAAAGAAUUAACUGCAUGAACACAAAUUCUGGCUGAGACUUGGGGACAGUUCUCUAAAAACGGGAUAUUUAUUUUACUUUUGAACAAUUAAAAGCCCCUCAGAGCA